rnacentral:rRNA from 1 species
UAACGCUGGCGGCUGCUUACACAUGCAAGUUGAACGGGUUUAAGUUUAUUAAACUUAAACAAGUAGCGGACGGGUGAGUAACGCGUAAGAACCUACCUUUAGGUAAGGAAUAACUAUUGGAAACGAUAGAUAAUACCUUAUAAGCUUAUAGUAAAAGAUAAAAUCGCCUAAGGAUGGGCUUGCGUCUGAUUAGCUUGUUGGUGAUUUAAAAGAUUCACCAAGGCAACGAUCAGUAGUUGGUCUAAGAGGAUGAUCAACCACACUGGGACUGAGACACGGCCCAGACCUCUACGGAGGGCAGCAGUGAGGAAUUUUCCGCAAUGGGCGAAAGCCUGACGGAGCAAUGCCGCGUGGAGGAUGAAAGCUUGUGAGUCGUAAACUCCUUUUCUUAGUGAAGAAAUAAGACGGUAUCUAAGGAAUAAGCAUCGGCUAACUCCGUGCCAGCAGCCGCGGUAAUACGGAGGAUGCAAGCGUUAUUCGGAAUUAUUGGGCGUAAAGCGUCUGUAAGUGGUUUAUUACGUCUACUGUUAAAUAUUAAGGCUUAACCUUAAAAAAGCGGUAUGAAACUAAAAAACUUGAGUUUAGUAGAGGUAGAGGGAAUUCUCGGUGUAGUGGUGAAAUGCGUAGAGAUCGAGAAGAACCCGGUAGCAAAGGCCGC